UACAGAGGGUGCGAGCGUUGUUCGGAAUUAUUGGGCGUAAAGGGCGCGUAGGCGGUGCGGUAAGUCACCUGUGAAAUCUCCUGGCUCAACUGGGAGCUUGCAGGCGAAACUGCCGUGCUGGAGUGUGGGAGAGGUGCGUGGAAUUCCUGGUGUAGCGGUGAAAUGCGUAGAUAUCAGGAGGAACACCAAUGGCGAAGGCAGCUCGCUGGGACGUGACUGACGCUGAGACGCGAAAGCGUGGGGAGCAAACAGG
rnacentral:rRNA from 1 species